AGCCUGUCGUAAACCUGUCAUUGCGGGCUGACACACAACUGGGGAAAGUUCGGUGUAAUCCCGACGCUGUCCCGCAACUGUAAGUUGUUUGUGCAGGUCUGUUGCAAGGUGUUUAGCCAUCUAAAGUCGCCAAACGCCCUGGCCAAGGAUACUGCUCAACCACAAGCCAGAAUACCCUUGAUUGCAUUCUUUUCUAC
rfam:Acaryochloris marina MBIC11017, complete genome.